rnacentral:rRNA from 1 species
AACUUUCAACAACGGAUCUCUUGGUUCCGGCAUCGAUGAAGAACGCAGCGAAAUGCGAUAAGUAAUGUGAAUUGCAGAAUUCCGUGAAUCAUCGAAUCUUUGAACGCACAUUGCGCCCUCUGGUAUUCCGGGGGGCAUGCCUGUUCGAGCGUCAUUGCAACCCCUCAAGCACC